UUAAAUCUAUCUAUUUUAAGUACAUUAAAUGUAAAUAAAGAUCGUGUUUGUUAUUUAUUCUUUUAACAUUUUGUUUAGUUGAUGAGGAUGACAAAGAUGUUGCAAUUGAAUGUAGAAUGAUAAUGUUACCUAACGCUCCCAAUAACUAGGGCCUUUAGCAAUGAGGUCUUUUAACAAACGGUGUUCAAUCGGCUGUAUUAAUGUGAGGGCACGCUGUCGUUUGAAUGUUUUAAUGGAGGGUUUAUCUUAUUCAGUAGUGCGUAAGAUUCAAAUAUUAAAUGGAAAAAUUACAAAAGGCACUUAUUCAAAACUACUGUCUAGCUAAAAGUGACAAAUUUAACAUUAAACGAACCUUGUUUCCUGACGAGCAAAUGGGCAAAGUUGUCAAACAAACUACAAGAAACAAACUCACAAUCAUUUAUAUAAGUUCCACCAACAUCGUCAUGUUCCUUCUACAUCUAAUAAAUCAAAAAUAUCCACGCAAUUUCAAUCUCAGCAGUGUAUGUGAAGGAAAAAGUGAUUAAGGAAAUAAUGCUGAUUAAAUCUAAUCCAGGAAAGUUUUCCUAUGUGAGCCAUUAGGCAACGUUUAACAAAAGUUAUGAACAUCCAUAUUUUUGGGCCCAACAAUUUCAAUCAAAAUCUUUGUAUGAUCAAAUUGGUCAAUGAAUGUGAUGCAAAAACGUUGUUGAAGUUGCAAAAUUAUCAAUUAAUGACAUUCAACAUUGAUCCCGACCGAAAUUCGGUUUCGAAUGACUGUAUUGGUUAAAUUAUGGAUGGGGCAAAUGUUUGCAUUAAAAGCGUCCGUCUCUCACAACAACUUUAUUAAAUUUGCUAUGAUUAUGAAAUCCAACUUUGUGUAAAACGAGUAGUAACAUUAAAUAAGACAAUUACAUACAUCAAUCGAGGAAAUGAGGAUUCGUUAAGUUUGACCAGAGCGAAAAAAAAUUAGAUGCAGAGACAUAUCAGCAUGCACAUCUCAGAUUUUUUGCAGUGCACCGCAUGUGCUUAGUUCAACAACAACAAAGAAAAAUAUGAAGACGAAAUUAAUGCUAACGAAGGUGAGAAAGCGCUUGAGUACGAUCCUGCUUUGUCUAGUGUUAAAACUCUGGAAGAUGUGCAAACUUUUGUCAAAUAUUUAAAGUAUAAUUUUAAGUUAGUCAGAGAACCUAAAGAAAGUGCGCAAUCUCAUGGAAUCUAUUUUCUGGUUCUCGAUGUCAAAGUUCAAUGGAACAAUACAUCGAAAAUAUUAACGACUUACAAUGACAUAAUGCCAACUAUUACAAGUACUCUUCAAUCAUUUAGACAUGAUUGGCCUAAUUAUUUAGAGACGAGCAUUCCUUAAUUAGUAGCAACUCUACAUACAUGUAAAAUAGAUAUGAAUGACAUAAGUAACAAUCACAAUAACUUGAACAUUUGCACAAGGUGCAUUGGGAUUUUGUUUGGAAGAAAUUCAAAUAUUGGAAAGUUUUAUUUUUAGACGUUUGCUCGAAGAAUUGAAAAAGAUAUUCUUAAAAGGCGACCGAUCUUAACUGUCAGUCUACUAAAUUUUCUCAACAAUCCAAAAGUUCUUGAAGAGCCGAAUAUGUCCCCAUUUUCGCUCUCAUCAAAUUAAUUUUUUUUUGAAAAAGCAAAAACCCUGAUUCAAUUAUUUAUUUCACUUCGUCUAAUGAUGAUGUCAGUGAUGAUGUUAUAGAAAUUCCAUCUGAAGCUUAGCAGAUUGUCAAACAGACUCCAAACCGUAACUCAGAAAUAACGUUUUUUUGCUUUUCUCCAACGUCGAAAGACUUUAAACUUUGUACUAAAGCUCCAAGAGACUUUUAAAAAAAGAAAAGAAAAUCAAAUUUUUCCCUCCUUAUGAUGGGUUAAAAAUAGCUUUUUUUGCAUCCCUUAAAGAAAUAAAGCACGACUCUAUAGAAUAACAAUUUAAACUAUAGAGAAACAAUUUAAGAAUAAACGGAAUAAAAGAAAGCGAGCAUGAAACAUGGGAAGAAAGUGAGUUAAAAGUGCUUAAAUUAUUUGAAGAGACGCUUGAAAUCAAAGAUGUGAAAAUUGAGCGGAUGCACAGAACCGGGCCAAGAGGUGAAAAUAAAAAUAGAACAAUAAUAUAAAAACUCUUGAACUAUAAAGAUAAAACAGAUAUUAUGAAGAGAUCAGUGAAAUUAAAAGGUAUGAAUAUUUACAUAAAUGAGGACUUUUGUUUUGAAACUGUUUAGAUAAGAAAAGACUUGAAGAAUGAAAUUUUAGGCAGCGAGAACUGGGAAAAUAUGCGUUUAUCUCUUGCGACGAUCUGGUCGUGCGCGAAUGGUCUGAAAAGAAAAUUGACGCAAAAGAUUGCUAAGUUUGUGCUUUAUAAGGUUCUGAUGACAAGAUCUUGUGAUCUUCUUUCAGAUCCUAGCUUAUGUUUCAUUGUAAGCAGUUUAUGUAUGUGCGCAUCUACGCAUUUGUAUGUGUAUAUAUGCUUAUAUUUAUAUAUGUA